CCUACGGGAGGCAGCAGUGGGGAAUUUUACACAAUGGGGGAAACCCUGAUGUAGCGACACCGCGUGAGCGAAGAAGCCCCUUGGGGUGUAAAGCUCUGUCAGCAGGGAGACGGUACCUGCAGAGGAAGCAUCGGCUAACUACGUGCCAGCAGCCGCGGUAAGACGUAGGAUGCGAGCGUUGUCCGGAUUUAUUGGGCGUAAAGAGUUCGUAGGCGGUUCGUUAAGUUUGGUGUUAAAGACUGUGGCUCAACCACGGGAUCGCACUGAAUACUGGCGGACUCGAGUGUAGUAGAGGCAAGCGGAAUUCACAGUGUAGCGGUGAAAUGCGUAGAUAUUGGGAAGAACACCGGUGGCGCAAGCGGCUUGCUGGCUUAACUGACGCUGAGGAACGAAAGCUAGGGUAGCGAAUGGGAUUAGAUACCCUAGUAGUC
rnacentral:rRNA from 1 species